rnacentral:rRNA from 1 species
GAGGCAAGAAGGGGCGCACGGAACUCUUGGUGGAGCGGUGGAAUGCGUAGAUAUCAAGAGGAACGCCAGAGGCGAAGGCGGUGCGCUGGGCUUGACCUGACGCUGAGGUGCGAAAGCCAGGGGAGCGAACGGGAUUAGAUACCCCGGUAGUCCUGGCCAUAAACGAUGUCUACUAGAUCUGAGGUGUUCUGACACACUUCUGGUCGAAACAAAAGCGUUAAGUAGACCGCCUGGGGAGUACGGUCGCAAGGCUAAAACUCAAAGGAAUUGACGGGGGCUCACACAAGCGGUGGAGCAUGUUGCUUAAUUCGAUGCAACGCGAAGAACCUUAUCCUGGGCUUGACAUGCUUGGAUGCCCAUCUAGAAAUAGAGUAGGCUGCCCUUCGGGGUGAAACUUGCACAGGUGCUGCAUGGCUGUCGUCAGCUCGUGUCGUGAGAUGUUGGGUUAAGUCCCGUAACGAGCGAAACCCUUGUCGUUAGUUGCCAGCGACUAAAGUCGGGGACUCUAACGAGACUGCCGCUCUUAAACCGGAGGAAGGUGGGGAUGACGUCAAGUCCUCAUGGCCUUUAUGCCCAGGGCUGCAAACGUGCUACAAUGGCGUGUACAAACCGAUGCAAGACCGCGAGGUGGAGCAAAUCGGAAAAAGCACGCCCCAGUUCGGAUUGGAGUCUGCAACUCGACUCCAUGAAGUUGGAAUCGCUAGUAAUCGCAGAUCAGCAAUGCUGCGGUGAAUGUGUUCAUGAGCAUUGUACACACCGCCCGUCAAGUCAUGGAAGCCGGGAG